CGGUGAAUACGUUCCCGGGUCUUGUACACACCGCCCGUCACACCAUGGGAGUGGGGUGCACCAGAAGUACGUAACCGCAAGGAGCGUCCUAGGGUAAAACCGAUAACUGGGGCU
rnacentral:rRNA from 1 species